CCUACGGGAGGCAGCAGUGAGGAAUAUUGGUCAAUGGGCUUACGCCUGAACCAGCCAAGUCGCGUGAGGGAAGACUGCCCUAUGGGUUGUAAACCUCUUUUGUCAGGGAGCAACGCCGGCUACGUGUAGCCGGACUGAGAGUACCUGAAGAAAAAGCAUCGGCUAACUCCGUGCCAGCAGCCGCGGUAAUACGGAGGAUGCGAGCGUUAUCCGGAUUUAUUGGGUUUAAAGGGUGCGUAGGCGGAAUGCCAAGUCAGCGGUAAAAUCGCGGGGCUCAACCUCGCUCCGCCGUUGAAACUGGCGUUCUUGAGUGGGCGAGAAGUAUGCGGAAUGCGUGGUGUAGCGGUGAAAUGCAUAGAUAUCACGCAGAACUCCGAUUGCGAAGGCAGCAUACCGGCGCCCAACUGACGCUGAAGCACGAAAGUGCGGGGAUCGAACAGGAUUAGAUACCCAGUAGUC
rnacentral:rRNA from 1 species